rnacentral:lncRNA from 1 species
UAUGAGAUUAUUUAACAUUUUGUUUUAUUUAGUUAUUGAUCUUAUUAAUCACACAACAUAGGGAAAUAAAUAUAUUUGGAUGAGUCCCAUGAACGAGCAUAGCUCAGCCGACAGGGACAUUACAAUAUGCAAAUAUCAGGGUUGGAACUCCAAAUAUCUGCUACAUUUCAUUGCUAGGAAGUGAAGAUGCAAUCUCUUCCUCCAUUUUCUGACCCAUAACUUGAAGCCCAACACCAUACUUACUCACCAAAUCCUCAAACUCCAACCCUUCAACAGGAUCAACACCAAAGAACCAUUCAACCCCACAACCACCAUCCCCAUC